UUUCCGUAGGUGAACCUGCGGAAGGAUCAUUAUUGUAUAACCGAGGUGCGAGGGCUGUCGCUGACCCGAAACGUCGCGCAAGCACGAGUGCCCCCAUACCCAUCCAUCUCACCCCUAUGUGCACCACCGCGUGUGUCGCCCUUUGGUUUUUUCGGUGGGGGGCUUACGUACUCACGCAAACUUCAUAUGCUGUGUAGAAUGUAAUUUUUGUUUUGGCAAUCACGCAAUCAAUACAACUUUCAACAACGGAUCUCUUGGCUCUC
rnacentral:misc_RNA from 1 species